UACGUAGGGGGCAAGCGUUGUCCGGAAUCAUUGGGCGUAAAGCGCGUGUAGGCGGUCCGGUAAGUCGGUUGUGAAAGUCCAGGGCUCAACCCUGGGAUGCCGAUCGAUACUGCCGGACUAGAGUCCGGAAGAGGCGAGUGGAAUUCCCGGUGUAGCGGUGAAAUGCGCAGAUAUCGGGAAGAACGACCCGUGGCUAAGGCGGCUCUCUAGUACGGUACUGACGCUGAGACGGCGAAAGCGUGGGGAGCGAACAGG
rnacentral:rRNA from 1 species